AUUGAACGCUGGCGGCAGGCCUAACACAUGCAAGUCGAACGAGUGGCGGACGGGUGAGUAAUGUCUGGGAAACUGCCCGAUGGCGGGGGAUCACUACUGGAAACGGUAGCUAAUACCGCAUACCAUCGGAUGUGCACAGAUGGGAUUAGCUAGUCGGUGGGGUAACGGAUCACCUACGGGAAGAUCCCUAGCUGGUCUGAGAGGAUGACCAGACACACUGGAACUGAGACACGGGCCAUACUCCUACGUGAGGCAGCAGUGGGGAAUAUUGCACAAUGGGCGCAAGCCUGAUGCAGCCAUGCCGCGUGUAUGAAGAAGGUCUUCGGGUUGUAAAGUACUUUCAGCGAGGAGGCGUUACUCGCAGAAGAAGCACCGGCUAACUCCGUGCCAGCAGCCGCGGUAAUAC
rnacentral:rRNA from 1 species